AUGAACUCCAGAAUUCAGGCUCUGGAGUCCGGUUCAACAUCGAAGUCCUCGGCAAAUCUUCUCUUCUCCGGCCCGCUUGCUGAGAACUCCUCAUUGGCCACGGCGCCGGUGCGGCUGCCCGUGCUUACUCAGCAGCAGGAUGAUGACGUCAUCAAUUCGGGGACUAUACCACGAAGAACGAUGGGAAGUGCAGUUCCAGUGUCUACAGGCUCUCCAUUCUUUCCGCCGGCUGCUGCGAUUUCUCAUCAGUUGAGAAGCCAAAUCAUUGCAGAAAUUCCACCGCCUGUGUCCAGGUUCAGCAUCAGCCAGCUUGGUCUGCCCUCCUUUCAGCCAAACCGUAAUAGAUUAGACAUGACCCUUCAAUCUUAUUUACAUUCAGCAGCCAAGUACAUGCGCAGUGGUCUAGCAACUUCGACAUUAAAAAUGUACGACACUGCUUGGUCUCAUUUUAGUUCUUUCUGUGCCACCUUCUCUGUAAAUAAAAUUCCUGUCAAUGUUUCAUAUGUUAGUGCUUUUAUAGUCCACUGUUUUGAGUCCCGUAAAAUGCAGCCUUCAUCCAUCAAAAGUAUGAUCAGCGGCAUCCAAUUCCACCUGCGCUGCUUGGAUCCAUCCACCAUCAGCUUGCUUGAAAAUUCAUCAAUUCGUCUCCUGCUUAAUGGACUUAAAAAAGAGAAACCUAAAGGCAAUGAUCAACAUCUCCCUCUCACACUUCCACUUUUGAAAAAAUUAAUAUCACGUCUGAGAGAGGGAUGCUUUGGGAUUUAUUCUGAUAUGAUGUUAGAACCUGUUUUGCUUAUGGUUUUCUAUGGCUUUCUUAGGGGUUGCGAGUUUUCAACACGCUCAAUUUCCUUCAAUCCGUCACAUGACCUCACAAUAUCUGAUGUUUAAAUUUUUUCUCACCACUUCACCAUAUUUCUAAAGCACUCAAAAUCUGAUAGGAACAGGGAAGGAUCUUUUGUUUAUGUUUCUGAAAAUAACUCUGCUUUUUGUCCUCUGUCGUCUAUGUUGGCUUAUCUGAGGAGUCGUCCACAAGCUCAUCUGGAGGACCCAUUAUUUACAACAGAGGAGGGAAAGCCAAUGUCCAGAGCCUGGUUUGCAUCCUGUUUCCGUCUGCUUUGUCAAUACUGCGGGCUUCCCCCAGAGUGUUAUUCGGCUCAUUCAUUGCGCAUAGGUGCUGCUACAACUGCAGCUUCCUCUACUCCCGUUUCUACCCUUAAAGCUAUGGGAAGAUGGUCUUCAGCAGCUUAUGAACGGUACCUCCGGUCAGAUACUCGAGCCAUCCUUGAGGCUCAGAAACCUAUGAGUGAUGCUAUAAGAUUGGUAGUUGAAAUAAAUAUUGCUUCAGUAACUAAUGGGCUUAUUUAAUUACAGCUUCAUUAGCUCUAGCUUCAUUCCUCUUGCUAUCUUCACGUUGAUCUAUUGGCUUAUUCUUUUUACUAAAUAAGAUUGGCUUUUUGAAAAGCUCAUUUUGAUCCUCUUUGGCUCUUCACUUAGCAGGAAGAACCAGGGAUGAUUGCCUGGUAUGGUCUGUUUGGGGGGAAUUUAUUUGCUGCUUUCCCAGUUUUAAAUGGGAGAUUGUCCCCAGAAGCUGCUGCUGUUCCCUGACUAGCUUUCAUGGAGCUCAUGAAAAGGAUGGGUAACUCAGAACAGAGCCAUACCGCCAAAUGUAACUUAAACAAUCAUGCAAAUAAAAAUAUGAAAAUUGGCUAAAAGAAUUGUCUAUGGUAUUUUUGACUCAAGUGGUCCUGCCUGAAAUAUAGCGUUCAGCGUCAGUUCAGGCAGGCCGUGUAGUCAAGCUCCGCUAUCAGCUGAUACCCAGACCUAACAGCUGAUCUGAUUGCUAAGCACUCAAUUGGUCCCUUUCAAACAGGGCACCCUAUUUAAAUGCAUUCUCAGUCUGCUGCUUGGCUGCUUCCACUGCAUUGCUUGCAACCCACCUCCUCCCCUAACUCCUCCUUAACUUUCGUUUAACUUAAUCAGUGACAUUCUGUUUUCAUUGAUGCAUGCUCUGUUCUCAAUGGGGAAUUUAUUUGCUGCUUUCCCAGUUUUAAAUGGGAGAUUGUCCCCAGAAGCUGCUGCUGUUCCCUGACUAGCUUUCAUGGAGCUCAUGAAAAGGAUGGGUAACUCAGAACAGAGCCAUACCGCCAAAUGUAACUUAAACAAUCAUGCAAAUAAAAAUAUGAAAAUUGACUAAAAGAAUUGUCUAUGGUAUUUUUGACUCAAGUGGUCCUGCUUGAAUUUCAGUUAGCCCAUCAGUACACAGAGAGAGCACAGGCUGAAAGAAGCAGAUUAUCCACUCCAAGUAGUUGGGCUUCAGAACAGUACAAUUCACCUCCAGCCUCCCAGAAAGAUCUUCUGCAAAGUAGAGAUGAGCACCUGAACGCCACAUUAGCUGAAAUCAGAGAGACCAGAUCUGAGUUAAGAUUACUAGCAGAAACGGUGCGCAGCCUAAACCAGAUUCCUCAACCAGCUACAGGGAGCUCUCAGUCGAAUACAUUGGAUCCACGUAAGUCUUAUCAAUUACCCACACUCCCUUUAGACCAUGGGUUUAUGCCUCCACCCUGUGAAGAGCUGAUCACUAAUGUACAGGUUGAUGAGUAUGAUGAGGCAGACUGGCCUGAUCCCCCUCCAUGGCCAGAGACAGGAGACCCACAAACUCAGUCUGCCAGUAGUGAGCCCAUUGUCGACUUUCUGGACAAGAUGAUGAGUGAGCUUCAAGUUCUGAAACAAGCAGCUGUUAGUAAGAGUAAUCCUCUUGCUGCACAAACACAAAGCCCUCCUAUCGUUAAACAUGGUCCACUGACAGCAAAGACAAGCAGGAUGCUUCAAGGCCAUUUGAGCCAACCACAAGGCUUCCAUCCUCAGCCACCUAUUUGAGCCAGUCCAGUUUAUAAGUCAGAACAGUACAAGAGUUACCUUCAAGGUGAGCCUGCAGCAAUCUCAGAGCCAUACCUGCCAAUGAGGGCCCACACAAGAACUGUAAUCGAUCCCCGACACCAGAUUCCUCUACAUUCUGAGCCGAUAUACAGAGGUCUGAUGCUGUCAAUUCCCUACUUCUGUUGCAGAGACCCCAGUGAGUUUG
ensembl:lncRNA